rnacentral:rRNA from 1 species
AUUGAACGCUGGCAGCAUGCUUUGCACAUGCAAGUCGAACGGUAACAGGCCGCAAGGUGCUGACGAGUGGCGAACGGGUGAGUAAUGCAUCGGAACGUGCCCAGUCGUGGGGGAUAACGCAGCGAAAGCUGUGCUAAUACCGCAUACGAUCUAUGGAUGAAAGCGGGGGACCGUAAGGCCUCGCGCGAUUGGAGCGGCCGAUGUCAGAUUAGGUAGUUGGUGGGGUAAAGGCUCACCAAGCCAACGAUCUGUAGCUGGUCUGAGAGGACGACCAGCCACACUGGGACUGAGACACGGCCCAGACUCCUACGGGAGGCAGCAGUGGGGAAUUUUGGACAAUGGGCGCAAGCCUGAUCCAGCAAUGCCGCGUGCAGGAAGAAGGCCUUCGGGUUGUAAACUGCUUUUGUACGGAACGAAAAGGUUUGGGUUAAUACCCUGGGCCGAUGACGGUACCGUAAGAAUAAGCACCGGCUAACUACGUGCCAGCCGCCGCCGUAAUAC